rnacentral:lncRNA from 1 species
ACGUUAAUUCCACGUAAGCAAAAUCGUCGUAAAGUACACGUAAACAAAACACUCGUUAAUUCCACGUAAGCAAAAUCGUCGUAAAGACCACGUAAACGGAUUUAUACAUAAACCCGUUAAUUCCACGUAAGUAAAAAUCGUCGUAAAUAUUUCGUAGUGUACAAACUUGAAAAAAAAAAGAAAAGGAGAAAAAUACCAGAUUAACAUGUGGCAAGACUUCCAGCAAU